UACAGAGGGUGCGAGCGUUGUCCGGAAUCACUGGGCGUAAAGGGCGCGUAGGUGGCGACCCAAGUCGAUGGUGAAAGCUCGCCGCUUAACGGCGAGUCGGCCACCGAUACUGGGUUGCUUGAGCACUGUAGAGGCUAAUGGAAUUCCGGGUGUAGCGGUGGAAUGCGUAGAGAUCCGGAAGAACACCGGUGGCGAAGGCGGCUCUCUGGAACGGUACUGACGCUGAGACGCGAAAGCGUGGGGAGCGAACAGG
rnacentral:rRNA from 1 species